AUUGAACGCUGGCGGCAUGCUUUACACAUGCAAGUCGAACGGUAGCAGGGAGCUUGCUCCGCUGACGAGUGGCGAACGGGUGAGUAAUGCGUCGGAACGUGCCGAGUAGUGGGGGAUAACGCAGCGAAAGUUGUGCUAAUACCGCAUACGUACUGAGGUAGAAAGUGGGGGACCUUCGGUCCUCACGCUAUUCGAGCGGCCGACGUCUGAUUAGCUAGUAGGUGAGGUAAAGGCUCACCUAGGCGACGAUCAGUAGCGGGUCUGAGAGGAUGAUCCGCCACACUGGGACUGAGACACGGCCCAGACUCCUACGGGAGGCAGCAGUGGGGAAUUUUGGACAAUGGGCGAAAGCCUGAUCCAGCCAUGCCGCGUGUCUGAAGAAGGCCUUCGGGUUGUAAAGGACUUUUGUCGGGGAGGAAAUCCCCAGCGCUAAUACCGCUGGGGGAUGACAGUACCUGAAGAAUAAGCACCGGCUAACUACGUGCCAGCAGCCGCAGUAAGAC
rnacentral:rRNA from 1 species